CCCUUUUACUCCAGCCUGGACCACCGGCACGUAAGAGCCCGGCACCCCCACCGCGGAUGCGCCCUCCCAGGUUGGGUCCGGGCCACCUCUUAAUGACGUCGCCUAGCGUCUCCAAAGCCAUCACCUUGAAGAAUGGGGCGAAGAGAGGCCGGCUUGGGGCCUCGCCCCUCGGAGCUGCCCCUCGGAGCUACUCCGCUGUCAGGCGGGCCCUCCACCAUCUGGCUGACCCCAUCCUGACCGCUGCCUCGUGAUCUUCGUGGUCUUCGUAGAAUUUUGAGCCCACAGGCUGCCACCCUCCUUGAAUCUCGGUGUCCAUCUGUCCUUCUACAAUAAACUCCAACCCCAACUGCCUUGUGCUAUUGUCUUUUCGUGUUGUCUGCAGAGGUGCCUCCCUCCUAAGUUUUGCUGUGGUAAACGAAGACGGAGAACCUCAGGUCUAGGUCCUGAAAAAAUCACAUGUAGGCAGAAGCAGUGAAAUGUGGCUGUGGAAACCUUUCCCCAAGCCUCCUGACUAAUGUCCACUCGCUGUGACCUGUAACGUGUAGACCCAAAAUGUCUGCCUGAUUGGGCCAGAGCAGUGAUUCUCAGCCCCAGCUAC